GAUGAACGCUGACGGCGUGCCUAAUACAUGCAAGUCGAGCGAACGGACGAGAAGCUUGCUUCUCUGAUGUUAGCGGCGGACGGGUGAGUAACACGUGGAUAACCUACCUAUAAGACUGGGAUAACUUCGGGAAACCGGAGCUAAUACCGGAUAAUAUUUUGAACCGCAUGGUUCAAAAGUGAAAGACGGUCUUGCUGUCACUUAUAGAUGGAUCCGCGCUGCAUUAGCUAGUUGGUAAGGUAACGGCUUACCAAGGCAACGAUGCAUAGCCGACCUGAGAGGGUGAUCGGCCACACUGGAACUGAGACACGGUCCAGACUCCUACGGGAGGCAGCAGUAGGGAAUCUUCCGAAAUGGGCGAAAGCCUGACGGAGCAACGCCGCGUGAGUGAUGAAGGUCUUCGGAUCGUAAAACUCUGUUAUUAGGGAAGAACAUAUGUGUAAGUAACUGUGCACAUCUUGACGGUACCUAAUCAGAAAGCCACGGCUAACUACGUG
rnacentral:rRNA from 1 species